UGGUUCUCUGCAGAUGCUGGCUGUGGCGCGCGGCCUGGACUGGAGUGGUCUGCUGAAGCUGCAGAAGGAGCUGCAGCGACUCAUUGUAAAUUGUACCAGCGUGCCAUGCACGUGUACGGCGAGGCUGCGUGUGUCCUGCAGUUUAAGGCUGUGUGUGACUCUUCCCCUGACAGCACCGUCGCUCAGCUGGGCGAUCUGAUGAACCGAAGCCGAAUGCAGCUGCCCUGAGCUGGACCAGCUGGUGGACACAUGUCUGCAGGCGGGUGCCGUGGGGUCGAGGCUAACCACAGCAGGAUGGGGAGGCUGCACAGUUUCCAUGGUACCCAGAGAACGAAUAGGUUCUUUUCUCCAAACUGUGAGAGAGCAGUAUUGCGUGCCUGACGGCCGUCGAGCUGCUCUGGAGAAGCAGAGUUUAUUCGUGACAAGGCCGGGAGGAGGGGCGGCGAUUUUCAUAGAGGAAUGAAAAGAAGCGGAGCAGUUUUCUCUCGCUUUAGCAACACACUCGAGUCUGUGGCCUUGGAAGCAGGAGGUGGCAUGUAUA